UACAGAGAGGACUAGCAUUAUUCGGAAUGACUGGGUGUAAAGGGUAUGUAGGUGGUAAAUAGUAUGUUGAUUGUGAAAUCUUAAUAUCGAUAUAUUAAAAUGGCAUUCAAGACAUAUUUACUAGAGUUUGAGAGAGGAUAAUAGAAUUCUUAGUGAAGAGGUAAAAUUUGUAAAACUUAAGAGGAAUUUCAUAAGGCGAAGGCGAUUAUCUUGAUCAAUACUGACAUUGAUAUACUAAAGUAUGGGGAGCAAAUUGG
rnacentral:rRNA from 1 species